GUAUACCACCUGUUCCUCUCCACUGGUAGUUUCUGCUAAGACAGCUUAAGUUCAUGCUAAAUGCUAUCCGGGCAAUCACCUACUUCUAAGGCUGUGUGGCAUUACUUGAACAAGCAUAGUUUGGCUUGGCGUCCCAAGAGGUUGGCUAGCUUUAAGAGAGGAGGACCAUUCCACGAGCACAUUCCAAAGGGAACCGGAUAGAGAGACCCUCUGCAAGAAAGGAUUAGCUCCUCCGGAAUAGUUCCCGUCCUCGGAGCAUAUCCGUUUCCUGGUGCCCUAUAUAAACAAGGUCAAGGCGCAAACCCAUUCAUCGGCGAGCGUCAAGGUUCAGAAACUUACAGGGAGAGGCUAGUAGGCAUGUCAGCAUGUGCUGAGCAUGAAUUACAGGGUAUAUCUCCUUUGGCACGGAGGCACGCAACCAUCCGUAGGUAUGUUAAUGGAUGGUGGCAAGCUGCUGGCUUGGAAGAUGCAGCAUAAUAGCCGUGCGUGCCAAAGGAGAAUUGCCCUGCGAUUCACGGUUCUGUAAUGUUUUUUUGUGUGAUCUGACAGUUGAUCGAGCUGUGUGUAUAGAUCCAAUUAAGCACCAAUAUCAGAUAUUGGCUAUGCAAUGCGAGUACAUCUGAUCAGACUCUGUUCACUUCAGACAAUUGUCGUGAUCAGCUAGACUACCUUGCAGGUGUCUUCAUCCAUUACAAUGGAUCAAAGAAGUUAAGCUAUCCUUCUGGCCCCAACCGCUCAAGAAAACAUUUGAAUUCAUCUUCAGGACAUGUGAGUUUUCUCAUUUUAUCACAAAGAAAAAUUAAAACUAUUCCUUUCUCCUCAAAACAGAACAUAUAUUUCAGGGACAGCACAUUCAGCUGUACAGUAAUAUGUACUCUACCAGCCAUGGUGCGUGGGGGGGAUUAUGUAUAUUUAAGGCCGUAUGGAUGGAGUACCCAUUAUGCUACUACUACAUGAAAACGAUGCGCUCCCAAACGUAUUAGAAAUCUGUAAGCCAAUGCUUGUAUAUAUGGAACAUCAUGGAGAAAAUGACUGAAAAGCCAACUCACAGCAUCAUCUUACACUAACAAGAGGACGCAUGCAAUUCAAAUUCCACUUGAGGUUAAAGCUGCCUCAGGUCAUCAGGUGAAUAUACGCAUAAUCACAUUUUUCAUAAUCUAACACUUGUCAAUAAUAUAAUUGUCUCCUUUAAAAAAUUGAAAAGCACAGUCUAAAACAUAGAUGGAUUAAGUCAUGUUUCCAACAUGAGGAACUAACGUUGAUGAUAAUAAAAAUUUGUAGACCAAAGCAAAUAGAGUGAAACUAAGGGUAUGGGCCACCGUAAAAUAGCUCCAGACCCAUCGGAAGGCUUUGCUUACAUGUUCUUUAUUUGAAGUCUACCAACCAACUUGGGAGGCAAGGUGCAUAUAUAUAAUAACGAUACGCGCACGCUUAGUGUCGUGUCCAAGAGUGCAGAUUGUAUGCACUUUUAUGUCGUCAACAUCGUGUGACUUAAGAACUCUCCAUGCCCCGGCAUCAGUAAGAAAAAUCGAAUUAUGCUCUGGAUGGAUUCCGUGUACCAUGCAGAACUUUCUGAUUCCGAACAUGCAGAGUGAAGAGUGAAGAGUGGAGGCUUGUCAAAUGCAGAGUGCCAUUGGAGAAGGCGCUUCUCGAAUCGUCACGCACAAUAGCCUUGCUACCCCACUCGCUCGAUCUGCCUGCUUGUCAAAUUGUAAAUUAGACACCAAGCUACUUUGUCAUUUGAGGACUGAAUACGUGACAGGUGACUCCAUACAGUCAUCUAAAUAGAUGUACAGAACAAUGUGUAGAUGAAAGCAAAUAUAUAGAGUAGCCAUGUUUAGCUCAGAGAGAACAAAAAAAUUGAGUAGAAGCAGGUCCAUUGUGAUAGCUACGGAGUAGAAUACAAACCAAAAGGCUUGCUCACAGUUUACAUAUGCUUCAAAGACUAGCCAGCAUUGUUCAAAGCUACAAGAGGUCUUUGUGAACAGGCAGAUGAGAACGACAACAAGCUGAAGUUGACCUGUGACUUAUUCCAAACUGCUAUCUCAAAACAAGAUGACAUUGACUCCAUUUCCAGCAACCAGUUCUUUCUCGCGUUGUAAAUUUUUCUCUUGGUCCAGAGUUUCUGUAACUUUAAUGUCCAGGUGGCAGCCAAUCUGAGAAGCAAGGAACAUAAGGGCAUGCAGACACACUGUGGUCUCCAAGAGUCCAGAUAAAACGCACCUUCUUCUCAUCCAUGUUGUAUGACAUGAGACUCUUUAGCUUGCCUGCAGUAAGGAAAAUCAAACCAUGCUCCGGAGUCCGGAUGGAUCGCAUGCACAUUGAAGUUGCAGGAGCCCCCAAAACUUCUAGGGAGUGUUCCAAACAUCUGCCUUUCACUGACUUCAUGCUUUAGGGUCCAUUGUUGCCCAGCAUAAUCCUCAAGAACCCAGAUUGACAGUCUCUCUUUGUUAUUGUUGUUGAUAUAUCGAUUGCUUAUGUGCACAGCAUGCAACUGCCCUUGAGAGACUCCGAUGAAAUCGAAAUCACGCGGAGUAGGGAUUUCCCGCCACUUAUUGGCAUCUAUGUCCACCGUGAGCAAUGAAGAAGAAUCAGGGCUUGUCAAAUGCAGAGUGCCCUUGAAGAAGACAGAAUUCCAACUUGCUACAGUACCAUCGCCCCACUCAAUCUGCCUGUACGUCCACGCUCCAGUUUCCGACGAGUAGAUCUCCAUUCCUGUCAAAUGCAACUCGAAGUUUUCUUUGGCCUUCACGAGCACGAACACUCUGAAGUGUGAGGACACGGUGUAAGGAACAUGGUCCAUGAUUUUGGUGAUUGAGUGACAACAUAAUUAAUGGGACUAAUAAGUUUAUGAGAUUA